GAUGAAGAACGUAGCGAAAUGCGAUAAGUAGUGUGAAUUGCAGAAUUCCGUGAAUCAUCGAAUCUUUGAACGCACAUUGCGCCUUCUGGUAUUCCGGAAGGCAUGCCUGUUCGAGAGUCAUUAACAACCGUUUCGAUCCCUUUCUUUCAGAAAUUACAAAGAGGAAAAGGGUUUGGUUAUGGUGGAGGAGGGAAAGGGAGCGUUUAGCCUGUAAAAAAAGAGGCUGUGUUCCGCCUCCCCCCCAAAAUUGUACAGGCGGUCGUGUGCGCCCACGCAUCGAGGUGUUGUAAAAGCUGCCACGGCACUUUUCACCUGUGCAGUGCGAGAUUGGCCAGCCGGUUUAAAAACCCCUCCAAACAAUCAAAGGUUGACCUCGGAUCAGGUAGGGAUACCCGCUGAACUUAAGCAUUUCAAUAAGCGGAGGA
rnacentral:misc_RNA from 1 species